GGUCCCAGCUCCCAGCUCCCGAGGGCUGCUGGGACAAAGUGCCCACCUCCCAGAGGUUUUCACCAGCUAGCCCCACUGCUACUACUGCUACUGAGCGUGAAAAGCCAUCGUGGCUGGGGCCAGACUGAGCCAGAGGACAUCAGCGUUAGGGAAGACUGGGAUUAGGGCAACCAGAGUGCCAGGAAACCAGGAUGCUUGCAGAAUCACUGAUUCAGGUUUAGGAGAACAAAAACCUGGUAACAGAAGACCUCCGCCUGGCUGAAGGAGGACCGAGGGCAAGGCUCAGACAGAACUCUUGGUCAGAGUCCCACAUCACUGAAGUGCCUUGAGAAACACAGCCCAGAGGAACCCUCAUUGAUCCUAUGGGCUGUGUCUUCCUCCCUGGCCCACCCAGAUAACUUCUGCUGUCGUUCAGCUCCCAAGAGUCAGUCCUGAUUCUCCAUCCCCUCCAUCCCUCAUCACUGGCCCACUGCAAAGAAGUGAGAAGGCAAGUUUAGAGCCAAACUCCCGUCUGAACACCCAGAGAAGCUGGUGCUCCAGGGCUGGGUGUCUCCUUGGCUUGCCACCAACAGUCCUACCAACACCAGGCUGGAGCCACAUUCUGUGCACAGAAGGCCUUGAUUUCUCAGCCACUUCUGGCCCCAGAG